UCGAACGAGUUCUCGUUGAAUCUCGGUGCUUGCACCGAGAUUCAACAUGGAACGAGUGGCGGACGGGUGAGUAACACGUGGGUAACCAGCCCUUAAGUGGGGGAUAACAUUUGGAAACAGAUGCUAAUACCGCAUAGAUCCAAGAACCGCAUGGUUCUUGGCUGAAAGAUGGCGUAAGCUAUCGCUUUUGGAUGGACCCGCGGCGUAUUAGCUAGUUGGUGAGGUAAUGGCUCACCAAGGCGAUGAUACGUAGCCGAACUGAGAGGUUGAUCGGCCACAUUGGGACUGAGACACGGCCCAAACUCCUACGGGAGGCAGCAGUAGGGAAUCCUCCACAAUGGACGCAAGUCUGAUGGAGCAACGCCGCGUGAGUGAAGAAGGCUUUCGGGUCGUAAAACUCUGUUGUUGGAGAAGAAUGGUCGGCAGAGUAACUGUUGUCGGCGUGACGGUAUCCAACCAGAAAGCCACGGCUAACUACGUGCCAGCAGCCGCGGUAAUACGUAGGUGGCAAGCGUUAUCCGGAUUUAUUGGGCGUAAAGCGAGCGCAGGCGGUUUUUUAAGUCUGAUGUGAAAGCCCUCGGCUUAACCGAGGAAGCGCAUCGGAAACUGGGAAACUUGAGUGCAGAAGAGGACAGUGGAACUCCAUGUGUAGCGGUGAAAUGCGUAGAUAUAUGGAAGAACACCAGUGGCGAAGGCGGCUGUCUGGUCUGUAACUGACGCUGAGGCUCGAAAGCAUGGGUAGCGAACAGGAUUAGAUACCCUGGUAGUCCAUGCCGUAAACGAUGAAUGCUAGGUGUUGGAGGGUUU
rnacentral:rRNA from 1 species